AGUGAACGCUGGCGGUAGGCCUAACACAUGCAAGUCGAACGGCAGCACAGUAAGGGCUUGCUCUUACGGGUGGCGAGUGGCGGACGGGUGAGGAAUACAUCGGAAUCUACUUUUUCGUGGGGGAUAACGUAGGGAAACUUACGCUAAUACCUCAUACGACCUACGGGUUAAAGCAGGGGAUCUUCGGACCUUGCGCGAUUGAAUGAGCCGAUGUCGGAUUAGCUAGUUGGCGAGGUAAAGGCCCACCAAGGCAACGAUCCGUAGCUGGUCUGAGAGGAUGAUCGGCCACACUGGAACUGAGACACGGUCCAGACUCCUACGGGAGGCAGCAGUGGGGAAUAUUGCACAAUGGGCGCAAGCCUGAUCCAGCCACACCGCGUGGGUGAAGAAGGCCUUCGGGUUGUAAAGCCCUUUUGUUGGGAAAGAAAAGCAGCAGGAUAAUCCCCCGCUGUUCUGACGGUACCCAAAGAAUAAGCACCGGCUAACUUCGUG
rnacentral:rRNA from 1 species